rnacentral:rRNA from 1 species
UACAGAGGGUGCGAGCGUUAAUCGGAAUUACUGGGCGUAAAGCGCGCGUAGGCGGUUUUGUAAGUCGGGUGUGAAAGCCCCGGGCUCAACCUGGGAACUGCAUUCGAGACUGCAUAACUGGAGUAUUGGAGAGGGCAGUGGAAUUUCCGGUGUAGCGGUGAAAUGCGUAGAUAUCGGAAGGAACAUCAGUGGCGAAGGCGGCUACCCUGGCCCAAUACUGGACACUCA